rnacentral:rRNA from 1 species
GACGAACGCUGGCGGCGUGCCUAAUACAUGCAAGUAGAACGCUGAAGAGAGGAGCUUACUCUUCUUGGAUGAGUUGCGAACGGGUGAGUAACGCGUAGGUAACCUGCCUUGUAGCGGGGGAUAACUAUUGGAAACGAUAGCUAAUACCGCAUAACAAUGGAUGACACAUGUCAUUUAUUUGAAAGGGGCAAUUGCUCCACUACAAGAUGGACCUGCGUUGUAUUAGCUAGUAGGUGAGGUAAUGGCUCACCUAGGCGACGAUACAUAGCCGACCUGAGAUGGUGAUCGGCCACACUGGGACUGAGACACGGCCCAGACUGCUACGGGAGGCAGCAGUAGGGAAUCUUCGGCAAUGGGGGCAACCCUGACCGAGCAACGCCGCGUGAGUGAAGAAGGUUGUCGGAUCGUAAAGCUCUGUUGUAAGUCAAGAACGGGUGUGAGAGUGGAAAGUUCACACUGUGACGGUAGCUUACCAGAAAGGAACGGCUAACUACGUG